rnacentral:pre_miRNA from 15 species
GACUGUUGUGUACAAAUUUCUCUAGCGGAGUGAGGUAGUAGAUUGUAUAGUUGUAGGGUAGUUAUUUUACCCUGUUCAGGAGAUAACUAUACAAUCUAUUGCCUUCCCCGAGGAGUAAAAAAAAUCUGCAGUUCCUU